GACGGAGGGGGCUAGCGUUGUUCGGAAUGACUGGGCGUAAAGGGCGCGUAGGCGGUUUUUUAAGUGAGGCGUGAAAGCCCUGGGCUUAACCUAGGAGGUGCGUUUCAGACUGGAAAGCUUGAGUGCGAGAGAGGAAAGUGGAAUUCCUAGUGUAGAGGUGAAAUUCGUAGAUAUUAGGAAGAACACCGGUGGCGAAGGCGGCUUUCUGGCUCGCAACUGACGCUGAGGCGCGAAAGCGUGGGGAGCAAACAGG
rnacentral:rRNA from 1 species